rnacentral:rRNA from 1 species
GAGAGUUUGAUCAUGGCUCAGGAUGAACGCUAGCUAUAGGCUUAACACAUGCAAGUCGAGGGGCAGCAUGGGGUUUGCUUGCAAACCCUGAUGGCGACCGGCGCACGGGUGAGUAACGCGUAUCCAACCUUCCCAUAACCGGAGAAUAACCUGCCGAAAGGUAGACUAAUACUCCAUGGUUUCCGCUGAUGGCAUCAGAUGUGGAAUAAAGAUUUUUUUUGGUUAUGGAUGGGGAUGCGUCUGAUUAGCUUGUUGGCGGGGUAACGGCCCACCAAGGCAACGAUCAGUAGGGGUUCUGAGAGGAAGGUCCCCCACAUUGGAACUGAGACACGGUCCAAACUCCUACGGGAGGCAGCAGUGAGGAAUAUUGGUCAAUGGACGAAAGUCUGAACCAGCCAAGUAGCGUGCAGGAUGACGGCCCUAUGGGUUGUAAACUGCUUUUAUGCGGGGAUAAAGUUAGUCACGUGUGACUAUUUGCAGGUACCGCAUGAAUAAGGACCGGCUAAUUCCGUGCCAGCAGCCGCGGUAAUACGGAAGGUCCUGGCGUUAUCCGGAUUUAUUGGGUUUAAAGGGAGCGUAGGCCGUGGAUUAAGCGUGUUGUGAAAUGUAGACGCUCAACGUCUGACUUGCAGCGCGAACUGGUUCACUUGAGUGUGCGCAACGCAGGCGGAAUUCGUGGUGUAGCGGUGAAAUGCUUAGAUAUCACGAAGAACUCCGAUUGCGAAGGCAGCUUGCGGGAGCACAACUGACGCUGAAGCUCGAAAGUGCGGGUAUCAAACAGGAUUAGAUACCCUGGUAGUCCGCACGGUAAACGAUGGAUGCCCGUUCUUCGUUCUUUUGAAUGAGGGACCAAGCGAAAGCAUUAAGCAUCCCACCUGGGGAGUACGCCGGCAACGGUGAAACUCAAAGGAAUUGACGGGGGCCCGCACAAGCGGAGGAACAUGUGGUUUAAUUCGAUGAUACGCGAGGAACCUUACCCGGGCUUGAAUUGCAGAGGAAAGAUCCAGAGAUGGUGAUGCCCUUCGGGGCCUCUGUGAAGGUGCUGCAUGGUUGUCGUCAGCUCGUGCCGUGAGGUGUCGGCUUAAGUGCCAUAACGAGCGCAACCCCUUUCUUCAGUUGCCAUCGGGUAAUGCCGGGCACUCUGUAGAUACUGCCGCCGUAAGGUGUGAGGAAGGUGGGGAUGACGUCAAAUCAGCACGGCCCUUACGUCCGGGGCUACACACGUGUUACAAUGGCCGGUACAGAAGGUCGGUCGUAUGCAAAUGCGAUCUAAUCUUUAAAUCCGGUCCCAGUUCGGACUGGGGUCUGCAACCCGACCCCACGAAGCUGGAUUCGCUAGUAAUCGCGCAUCAGCCAUGGCGCGGUGAAUACGUUCCCGGGCCUUGUACACACCGCCCGUCAAGCCAUGAAAGCCGGGGGUGCCUGAAGUCCGUGACCGGAAGGAUCGGCCUAGGGCAAAACCGGUGAUUGGGGCUAAGUCGUAACAAGGUAGCCGUACCGGAAGGUGCGGCUGGAACACCU